UUUCAUAAAAAUCUUCGCAUAAUCCUACGCACCCCUUCCGAAAAUGUGAGAUCUCUAAAGAUAUUAACAACUACCUCACCAAACUUAUCUCAUAAACCAUAUCUUCUCAUUAACACUAUAAAUACUACUCUUUUCCCGCAACUCAUAACACCAAAACCAAAACCCAUACACACAAAAAAUCUUAAUCAACGCCAUGGUUGCUUCGGUAGCUUCGUUUCUGUCUUAGCUUUACUUAUAUAUGUUUCUAUCCACGUUCUUUACUUUGUUAAUUGUUUAUAGAUGUGGUUGGUCAAACUAUUGACAUUGGGGAGAUGAAAAUGCUUGAAGUUAACAACAUACCAACUUAUAAGCUUAGAUUUAAAUUGAGAUAAGAGUUGUAGGUGACUUAUUGUAAAGUGAAUCUUGAAAAGGAGAACAAGUCAGAUCGUAAUAUAUAUUACCAAGCACACUACAAUCUUUAUUUAAAAUUUUAUUAUUAAUAGCUUGAUACACAAAUUAUUAGCUUGAUACAAUCUUUAUUUGUGUAUUAUUAAUAGCUUGAUACACAAAUUUUAUCAUUUCAAAUUCUGUAAGUUAUUUCAUCGAUAAGUACAGAAAACUAUGUACACAAAAUUAUAUAUUUAUAUGAGUUCGUUUCUAACCUUUAUCAAGAUUGCUUGAUAGCCU